UGCGUAGGCGGGUUUUUAAGUCAGGGGUGAAAUCCUGGAGCUCAACUCCAGAACUGCCUUUGAUACUGAAGAUCUUGAGUUCGGGAGAGGUGAGUGGAACUGCGAGUGUAGAGGUGAAAUUCGUAGAUAUUCGCAAGAACACCAGUGGCGAAGGCGGCUCACUGGCCCGAUACUGACGCUGAGGCACGAAAGCUGGGGAGCAAACA
rnacentral:rRNA from 1 species